AAGCGAUUUAUUUGUGUAGCUCAUUAUACAUGCAGAUUCCGAUGUUUACGUCAUUGUAUUUUCAUCGGAAUCUGCAUGUAUAAUGAGCUACACAAAUAAAUCGCUU
rnacentral:miRNA from 1 species